rnacentral:rRNA from 1 species
AACGAACGCUGGCGGCAGGCUUAACACAUGCAAGUCGAGCGCCCCGCAAGGGGAGCGGCAGACGGGUGAGUAACGCGUGGGAAUCUACCCAUCUCUACGGAAUAACGCAUGGAAACGUGUGCUAAUACCGUAUACGUCCUUCGGGAGAAAGAUUUAUCGGAGAUGGAUGAGCCCGCGUUGGAUUAGCUAGUUGGUGGGGUAAAGGCCUACCAAGGCGACGAUCCAUAGCUGGUCUGAGAGGAUGAGCAGCCACACUGGGACUGAGACACGGCCCAGACUCCUACGGGAGGCAGCAGUGGGGAAUAUUGGACAAUGGGCGCAAGCCUGAUCCAGCCAUGCCGCGUGAGUGAUGAAGGCCCUAGGGUUGUAAAGCUCUUUCACCGGUGAAGAUAAUGACGGUAACCGGAGAAGAAGCCCCGGCUAAUUUCGUGCCAGCAGCCGCAGUAAAAC